GGUGGAGGUGAUGGUGGUGAAGGUGGUGAUGGUGGAGGUGAUGGUGGUGAUGAUGGUGACUAUGAUGGUAGUGAUGUCAGUGAUGGUGGUAAUAGGGAUGAGGGUUGUUUUUAGUGGUGGUGAUGGUUAUAAUUGUGGUGAUGAGUAUCGUGGUACUGACAGCCCCAGGGUUCUUGUGCCAGGGGCUCUGACAAAGGGUCCAAAGCUGUUCGACUCUUCAUGGCUGCAGACGUGGCUCAGCAGUAGCUCUCCCACCUAACAUGCAGGAGCUCUGGAUUCAAUCCUCAGUGCUACAGAAGUAAAUGAGCAAAGCAGCACCUAUUGUCACCACGAAAGGAAACGGACGGACAGACAGACAGACAGACAGACAGACAGACAGACAGACAGACAGGAAUGCUGUGGGGCCGCAUUGUGUGGGGCCUGACCCAGGAAGGAAGACUCCAUGUGUCCUGCCAGCAGCUGGGAGAUCACAGGGUCGCCUCAGCAGGUCCACCUCCCGGCCUGCUUGCCUGCCUCUGUCCUGGCCAGCUCUCACUGCAGGACUCUGUGCCCUGUUGGAAAGAGUUAAGAACCUCAGGCCAAAGCCCCAGUUUUACACUGCCCAGCGUGAGUACCCAUCCAUUAGAUCAUAGGUUCUGCGUCCCCCUGUUUGUCUUCAACUCUCAGCUCAGCCACCUGGACAGGUCUUCUAGGGUGCGACAUGCAACACUGUGGCCGCUGGACCCCCGUAGCCAGGCAGCCCUAUGGCCUCAGGGACUGGGAAACAGCAGGCUUCCUGAAAUUAUUUCAUGCUCAAUUAUUUCAUGCUUGUUUCCUCAAGGGCCAUGUAGCCCAGACUUGACUCAACUCCUGUUUCCACCUUGCCAAUGCUUGGCUGACAGGCCUUUGCCCAUCCCCCAAACCCCAGGCUUCCACUUCAUUUUGCCUCAUUGUGGCAGGAUCCAAUUGUGGGCAGUGGUGCAUUUCCUGUCCCCUUCUCAUGGUGACAGAGGCGAGCAUUUCAGACAGGCUGCCUUCUGUGCAAGUGUCAUUCACACCAAUGAGCCCUUGUUCCACACUCACUGUGGUGCCCGGAACUUUCACAACUUCCUCCAUUUUAUCUUUAAAGGGAAACGGGCUUGGAGGUAUUAAGCAACCUUCCCAAGUGCAUACAGAAAGCGGUGUGACUGGGUUCUCACCAAGGCAGCCUGGCUUUGGGAUCUGUUUUCCUCAGUGCUUAACAGGCAAGUGAAGGCUUUCCUUAUUUCAGAGGGACUAGAAUGGACUGCAGUCCCAGGACUUGGAAUAUACUGAAGCAGGAGGAUAUAAGAUCAAGGCCCUUCCACUGGUCAUGAUGGGUGCUCACGGGCUUCAUGGCUACCGGACUUCCAGCCUCUCGAACUGUGUGCUAUGGGAAGACAGUCUUCUCUUUCCCCUGUCUUGGGAUAGGUUCUAUGUAUCCCAGGCCGGCCUACUUACACCUCCUAAAAUUUGUUUUCUUAACUCCCUCUCCCUCUCCCUGUCCCCCCUCUCCCUCUCCUCCCCUCUCUCUGUGAGUGUGAGUGUGUGUGUGAGAGAGUGUGUGUGAGUGUGUGUGUAUGUGUGUGAGUGUGUGUGAGAGAGUGUGUGUGAGUGUGUGUGAGUGUGUGUAUGUGUGUGUGAGUGUGUGAGUGUGUGAGUGUGUGAGUGUAUGAGUGUGUGAGUGUGAGUGUGUGAGUGUGUGAGUGUGUGUGAGUGUGUGCGCGUGAGUGCAUGUGCUCUUGGAACCAGAAGAGGGCACUAUCUCCCCUGGAGCUGAAGUUACAGGUGCUUCUCAGCAGUCUAAUAUGAGCACUGGGAACUGAACUCAAGUCCUUACCACUGAGCAAUCACUCCAAGCCCUUAAACCUCAUCUAUGAAUGAAGUGCUCACCCUUGGGUAUCUCACUAUAGCAAUGGAAAAGAAAUAAAUACAUGCCUAAAUUUCUACCAGAUCCCUUAGAAUAGGACUGCAAUCCCCUUCCACCUCUCAGGGCAAGGCCAUCCCUUCUCCACAUGUCCCCUCUGCACAAACAUUCCCCAUCCUCCAAAACACAUCUCUUCAAAGCCCCCACGGGACAUCAUGCACCUGGAGAGGCCUCAGGCUUCUAAACCACAGGAAUGGAGCCUCUUUUCAGCUGACAAUUACAAAGGGGACAUUUAUGGUCACCUUUCUCCAACUCUGUAUACAGUUGUGUGUGAAUUGCUGGGAUUCAAACCCAGGGCUUUCAGCAUGCUAGGCAAGUCCUGUGCAUUUCUGGCAGGCUGACGUUUGACUGACCAAAAUGCCACAGACAGGAGAAUUUUUGGAAAACCCUGAGGGGUGGCGGUAGAGGAUUGGUGUUCUGUAAGUGACAUGAGGGGCUGGGAGGCUCUUUGUUGACAACACAGUGGUGAAGAUUGACCUUACUGAGGCUGUGGGGGAUCGGGUGCUGAUGGCGAGAGCGUUUCCCAAACAGAUGAACUGAGAGUCUCUCCAGGGUGUUUUUGAAGAAACGUCUACAAGCUUGGUUUGAGGCUCACCAGUUCUGUGGUAUUCUAACGUGUGUUCAUAGUUGAGAUCUUAAGCUGGCAGUGGCAAGGCUGAGAACCCAAACUGGCAAAGGUGAGGCCAGAGUGUCGCACACUGAAGAUCAGUCUGGGUGACAGAGUCCAGUCCAGUCAUGGCUCCUACCCACCAAAUCCCCCCCCAAAAAGCUGGAUGCAGAUGGCAAAGCCCUUAAUCCCAGCACUUGGGAGGCAAAGUCAAAUGGAUCUCUGAGUUCAAAGGAAACUUGAUGUUCACAGUGAGUUCCAGGAAAGCCAGUGAGACUCUGUCUCAAAGAAAAAAAAGCCCCCAAAAAGCAAGAAAAAAAACCCAGCAAAAAUAAAUUUAGAAAUGUUUAAAGUCUGA